UUCUCGUAUUAGGGGAUGAAUUUCUGGGGGAGAGAGAAGGAGCUGCGAGAGGCCUUUACGGUGCUGUCCCCAGAGUUGCAACAGAGUGUGACAGCCCCUCUGUUUUGCACUCCUUGUUGCUGCUGUGUUCUCUGUUUGCAGGGGCAGGUUCCUGAGCACACACUGAUUAGCAGGAUGGGACACACCUGGGCCUGGUGUGCCCCAUGUAUAAAGCCAGACAAGCUGCCAGUUCAGACUCUCCUCUCUCCCCCACACAGUCCUGCAUUGUUUUUUGGUUCUUUUUCCUUUGUUUCACGAUACAACACCCAUACAGCAUACACUCAGUCAACCACUCCCUAUUGAUUUUACAAACUACCUACUACCUACUCAUUUGUUUUUGUUUUUUUUUUGUUACUUUGAGUACUUUGUUUUCACUAAAUUUACUUUUGUACUAUUGAAUACUUGUGUGACUUCCCUUUUUUGCCACAGUAUAGAGCCAGGCUGUGACACAGAGCCUUGCCAAAGAGAAGAUAAUCUUUCAUUUCAACCCACCUGCAGUACCACACUCACACUUGGGAGAGGGAGAUCCGUUCAGUCAAACAGGCACUUUACAUGGCUGUGGGUGCUCAGGCACGAAGAGGUGCUCAGGAUGGUGCUCACUGAAAUGGAAGGCCUUCUGAAUUCCUAAUCCUUGGGUUAUUUAUCGUCUAGUAUCACAGAUCCAGAUCCUGUGACCCCAAGUCUCUUGUUGAUGGGGCGGUUCGAUGGAUCUCCUCCUCAGGUGGUGUAUCCAGAUACGGAGCUACUCAGCAGACACAGGCGUUCCUUCAACUUGGUUAAGACCUGAUCUGACAAGCUCUCCACCCAAGGUCACAUGUGUUCUGAGUAGUGCCACAGAGCAGAGACAUAGCCUGCAAAUGAGAACAGUGCUGAAAGGACACAAUGUAUUGAUGUAAUGACCCUCUGGUGCUUUGGCUUGCAGACACUUCAAAAUGAGAGGCAUCAAACCCCACAGGCCAGCAGCCUGCACGAAAUAUUUUAUAUGAAACAAUUAAAAACAAAACAAUA